rnacentral:rRNA from 1 species
UACUCGCUGUUGCGAUAUACAGCAAGCGGCCAAGCGAAAGCGUUAAGUAUUCCACCUGGGGAGUACGCCGGCAACGGUGAAACUCAAAGGAAUUGACGGGGGCCCGCACAAGCGGAGGAACAUGUGGUUUAAUUCGAUGAUACGCGAGGAACCUUACCCGGGCUUGAAUUGCACUCGAAUAUAGCGGAAACGUUAUAGCUAGCAAUAGCGAGUGUGAAGGUGCUGCAUGGUUGUCGUCAGCUCGUGCCGUGAGGUGUCGGCUUAAGUGCCAUAACGAGCGCAACCCUUGUCUAUAGUUACUAACAGGUCAUGCUGAGGACUCUAUGGAGACUGCCAUCGUAAGAUGUGAGGAAGGUGGGGAUGACGUCAAAUCAGCACGGCCCUUACGUCCGGGGCCACACACGUGUUACAAUGGGGGGUACAGAGGGCCGCUACCACGCAAGUGGAUGCCAAUCCCGAAAGCCUCUCUCAGUUCGGACUGGAGUCUGCAACCCGACUCCACGAAGCUGGAUUCGCUAGUAAUCGCGCAUCAGCCAUGGCGCGGUGAA